rnacentral:rRNA from 1 species
UACGAAGGGGGCUAGCGUUGCUCGGAAUCGCUGGGCGUAAAGGGUGCGUAGGUGGAUUUUUAAGUCAGGGGUGAAAUCCUGGAGCUCAACUCCAGAACUGCCUUUGAUACUGGGAAUCUUGAGUUCGGGAGAGGUGAGUGGAACUGCGAGUGUAGAGGUGAAAUUCGUAGAUAUUCGCAAGAACACCAGUGGCGAAGGCGGCUCACUGGCCCGAUACUGACACUGAGGCACGAAAGCGUGGGGAGCAAACAGG